UUCUUGGAGAGUUUGAUCCUGGCUCAGGACGAACGCUGGCGGCGUGCCUAAUACAUGCAAGUCGAG
rnacentral:rRNA from 1 species